rnacentral:rRNA from 1 species
GACAGAGGGGGCAAGCGUUGCUCGGAAUUACUGGGCGUAAAGAGCGCGCAGGCGGUCGUAUAAGUCGAAUGUGAAAGCCCCCGGCUCAACUGGGGAGGGUCAUUCGAUACUGAUCGACUCGAAGGCAGGAGAGGGAAGCGGAAUUCCCGGUGUAGUGGUGAAAUGCGUAGAUAUCAGGAGGAACACCAAUUGCGAAGGCAGCUCGCUGGGACGUAACUGACGCUGAGACGCGAAAGCGUGGGGAGCAAACAGG